GACGAACGCUGGCGGCGUGCUUAACACAUGCAAGUCGAACGGAAAGGCCCUGCUUUUGUGGGGUGCUCGAGUGGCGAACGGGUGAGUAACACGUGAGUAACCUGCCCUUGACUGUGGGAUAACUUCAGGAAACUGGGGCUAAUACCGACUAGGAGCUCCUGCUGCUUGGUGGGGGUUGGAAAGCUUCGGCGGUUGGGGAUUGACUCGCGGCUUAUCAGCUUGUGGGUGGGGUGGCGGCUUACCAAGGCUUUGACGGGUAGCCGGCCUGAGAGGGUGGCCGGGCUCAUUGCGCCUGAGGUACGGCCCAGUGUCCUACGGGAGGCAGUAGGCGGGAAUCUUGCCCAAUGGGCGCAAGCCUGAUGCAGCAACCCCGCGUGCGUGAUGACGGCCUUCGUGUUGGAAACCGCUUUCGCCUGUGACGAAGCUUGAGUGACGGUAAUGGGUAAAGAAGCACCGGCUAACUACGUG
rnacentral:rRNA from 1 species